CGCUGCCUGCCCUGCUGAGCCCGACUUCUCCAGCCUGUCCCAGUGCAGACUGGUGAGCCUUGCCCGGGGUUGCACUCAAAUAAAGUGCCUGGCCCUUUGUUGCCUCUCAUCACCUGCUUAUUUCAGUUAAAAUUUAUCUUACAUUUGGUGCCAAAAAACCCGGGAAGGGGCUUGAGCGCAGGGCCCCAACCAGCCAUCAGCAGCCCCGCCCCCUCCUUCCCCGACCCGGGACCUCAGCCUGCUCUCCUCCGCGUGGACUAUUUUCCGGCUGCCUGCUAUGAACAAGCCUCAGUCUGUCUCAUUGUCCGGACUGCAGUACUAGACGGGGCAAAACCUCGGUGAUCAUGCUAGAUAUAUCUGUCCUGAGAUUCGAAGACGACAUAUCUGCUAGAACUUCCAGCCACCGAUAGAGAGGUCGGACAGUAGAAGUGCACACGACCAUGUGGGUACAUCAGUACUCGUGCCUUCCCUCCAAGCCGCCUCUGGCCUCCCACCAGCCUCAACGCUACCUGCGCUGCCCCUCCUCAGCCAGAAGUAGCCAGAUUGAGUCAGCGCCCAUUAUAACCAAAAGGCUGGAAUGUAAGGUUGGAGGCACUGGGGGGAGAGGUGAGCAGAUCGGACACUGAUGAUGUGCCAAAGUCCCCGGCUGCUGCCCCCUCCCAACCCGAAAAAUGUGCCUUGGGCUGGCCAAUCCUCGCGCCGCUGUAAAUCUAAGCUCCGCCUCCCCCUGCCUUCUUUAAAAACUCGCUGCCUGCCCUGCUGAGUGCGGCUUCUCCAGCCUGUCCCAGUGCAGACUGGUGAGCCUCGCCCGGGAUUGCACUCAAAUAAACCGCCUGUCCCUUU